ACCCAGCAGCUUGGAUUGUGCAGCAACGACAACGACGACGACCAACCUCAUUUAUCUACAUCUUCAUCAUCAAAGAUUUGAUGGGUUUUCUUGAAUCUUGAUGAUCAAUUAUCCUUUUGUUUUUUUCUUGAUGAAUAAUUAAAUUUGGUGAUUUAAUGUGUAAGAUCUCGAAAGGAUUAAUUGAUCGAUGAAAUGUUUGAUGAUCUGCUGAUCUGCUCUGCUCAUUUUGUAUGUGUAUAAAUGAAUCGCCUUAAAAAAAUGAUUUUAUUUCUAGCUAGAUUG
rnacentral:misc_RNA from 1 species